rnacentral:rRNA from 1 species
AAGCCGCAGUGAAUAGGCCCAAGCGACUGUUUAGCAAAAACACAGCUCUCUGCGAAGCCGUAAGGCGAAGUAUAGGGGGUGACACCUGCCCGGUGCUGGAAGGUUAAGGAGAGGGGUUAGCGUAAGCGAAGCUCUGAACUGAAGCCCCAGUAAACGGCGGCCGUAACUAUAACGGUCCUAAGGUAGCGAAAUUCCUUGUCGGGUAAGUUCCGACCCGCACGAAAGGUGUAACGAUUUGGGCACUGUCUCAACCAGAGACUCGGUGAAAUUAUAGUACCUGUGAAGAUGCAGGUUACCCGCGACAGGACGGAAAGACCCCGUGGAGCUUUACUGUAGCCUGAUAUUGAAUUUUGGUACAGUUUGUACAGGAUAGGCGGGAGCCUUUGAAACCGGAGCGCUAGCUUCGGUGGAGGCGCUGGUGGGAUACCGCCCUGACUGUAUUGAAAUUCUAACCUACGGGUCUUAUCGACCCGGGAGACAGUGUCAGGUGGGCAGUUUGACUGGGGCGGUCGCCUCCUAAAGUGUAACGGAGGCGCCCAAAGGUUCCCUCAGAAUGGUUGGAAAUCAUUCGUAGAGUGCAAAGGCAUAAGGGAGCUUGACUGCGAGACCUACAAGUCGAGCAGGGACGAAAGUCGGGCUUAGUGAUCCGGUGGUUCCGCAUGGAAGGGCCAUCGCUCAACGGAUAAAAGCUACCCCGGGGAUAACAGGCUUAUCUCCCCCAAGAGUCCACAUCGACGGGGAGGUUUGGCACCUCGAUGUCGGCUCAUCGCAUCCUGGGGCUGUAGUCGGUCCCUAUCCGUCGUGGGCGUAGGAAAUUUGAGAGGAGCUGUCCUUAGUACGAGAGGACCGGGAUGGACGCACCGCUGGUGUACCAGUUGUUCUGCCAAGGGCAUAGCUGGGUAGCUAUGUGCGGAAGGGAUAAGUGCUGAAAGCAUCUAAGCAUGAAGCCCCCCUCAAGAUGAGAUUUCCCAUAGCGUAAGCUAGUAAGAUCCCUGAAAGAUGAUCAGGUUGAUAGGUUCGAGGUGGAAGCAUGGUGACAUGUGGAGCUGACGAAUACUAAUAGAUCGAGGACUUAACCAU